GCCUGCGCGGUAGUGGGACCCGACCCUGUCUCCAGUGGGCGUCUUGGGCCCCGGCUCUAUUCUGGGCUGCGGGCCUGGGAAGGGCUCGCCGGGUGCCAAAUGAGCUGUCCUAACUCUGCGGGGCUGCAGCUUCCUGCAUGAUGCUGGGGAGCUUGGCGCCUGACCCAGGAUCUAGAAGGCACUCUGGGCAGGCCGCGCUCCGCCCACGAAGGUCUGGCUUACCACACGCUCCUCCCCAUUCCCAGUGAGCCGCUUUUUGCAGCACCAGGCGAACACUUACACCAGUGCUUUGUAAAGGAAUCUUAUUGUCCACCCCGUGUCUUGGCAAAAGAACAGUGAUCACACAGAUUCCUACUUGGGCUCUUUCCUUUAAUCUUCGGAGGCUGAGUUUGCCCAACUCAGGUUUAACCACCAAGGACUCUGAGAGCUGGCAGGUCUGAGUAACCCUGGUAACAAUUCUCUUCACCUUAUCAAAACCUGAGCUAAAACCAAUGCAUCAGCUGAUGAUGACAGCAGAGAGUGGCAGGGCUGAGGACCCAAAGUCAUUUCCCAGGCUGGCGGAGAAUAAACUGCCAGGGAGAAGAAUGAGAAGACAGGAGACAAACUGUUUGGAAAGCUAAAUCUUCCCUCUUAAUGAAUAAAGGUUUUUGCCUUGUCUUAAAGUUUCUGAGUCCUAAUUUUGGCAAAAUAAAUAACUUAUGGUAAUCUGGAAUUGUAUUUUGUAAUAUUAAGUGUUUUGAACCUCUAACAUUUACUUCCCAAAAUCAAACUUCAGUUUCAAAAUUGUCUCUCUUGACCCCUAGCUUUUGGAUGCUACAGAAGGCCCCUGAAGCAUCCAGAAGAGAGGUAAACAGGAUUAUUUAACAUGUUUAGGUACAUGGGAUUGGCCAAAUGGUGUUUAAUGAUCUUCAGGUUAUAUUUUAGUGAAUAAUAUUAAUAUAUUUUCCAAAAUUGUAUGGGAUUUCUAAAAUUCUAAUGUCUGAGUAUAUGCUAGAAAUCAUAAUUAAGGUUAUUAUGUUAAGUUAUUGUAAAACACAGAAAUAAUAAAAUUUGUCAGUCAUGUUCUUGACUAACUACCUUGGACAUUUCACCAUUCAAAAUCGUCUUGUUUUAAUCCUCUUUAAAGGAUGGUUUAUAAUCAGCUAUAGGACUUUGACACAUGCUCUCAAAUGCAAGUUUCUGAUAACUUUGGAGAUUAUGACAUUGGAAUAAAGGAAAAAUGUACAGGACUCAUGAAGAGCUAAAAUAUUCAUGAAUAUCAAGCAAAACAAGAGUUAACAAAAUGGACUUUUUAACCUUUUUGCUUAAAAUGUUGCUGAUCCUUAUUUUGUUUUUCAGAGUCAAGGAAACUUAUUUUAAGCUAUUUAUAGCCUCUAAUAAUUAUGUAAGGUAUACUUCUGUAAAUAAAAUUCAGAGCAUAUU
rnacentral:lncRNA from 1 species